GGGCUUAUGGUUUAGUGGUUAAAACACGCUGCUCAUAACGGCUGUAACGCAGGUUCGAAUCCUGCUAAGCCUA
rnacentral:tRNA from 1 species